UGGCAACUUAAAGGACUAAAAGAGAUAUUUUAUCCACUCAAUAUCAUUAAUUAUGAAUGAUAUUCAUUCAUUUUAAACCAUAAUUUGCAGCAACAAGAAGAUGAAACCCGAAACUCCCCUUUCUCAAAUUCUUCAAAAAUUCAAUCCUCCAUAACUUCCUCGUUUCUCAACGGAAUUGGACGAUUCUUGCGGCCACGGAACGAGGAAAUGAUUAUCUACAGACCUAUGGAUUCAAUUUGAGGUGUGAAUUGAGCUUGGAAAAUGAAGGAUUGGAUGGUGAAUCUUGGUGAUUAAACUUUGGCAUGUGACAUCUUCAAGAUCGGACGAGCGACUAUCGAAAAGGUUUGAGGCAAACGGAUCGAGAUAUCGUCAUAAUUAUUUGAAGAAUUUGGAUAGCAAGUGGGAUAGUAUGAUAUGAUUUGAAGAGUCAAACUUCCGAAGUUUAAAUUCUCGGAAGUCAUUUGCACAAGAAGUAAAAGAAGGUUUUCAUUCUAGCUGUCCGCAGUAGUCUAGAUGUUUUUGUCUAUGUAUUUGUA